GACGUAGGGCGCGAGCGUUGUCCGGAUUUAUUGGCGUAAAGAGCUCGUAGGCGGCUUGUCGCGUCGUCCGUGAAAACUUGGGGCUCAACCCCAAGCUUGCGGUCGAUACGGGCAGGCUAGAGUUCGGUAGGGGAGACUGGAAUUCCUGGUGUAGCGGUGAAAUGCGCAGAUAUCAGGAGGAACACCGGUGGCGAAGGCGGGUCUCUGGGCCGAUACUGACGCUGAGGAGCGAAAGCGUGGGGAGCGAACAGG
rnacentral:rRNA from 1 species